GAAAAUUCUCAGGGCGGGGCGAAAUUCCCCACCGGCGGUAAGGGAAAGCCCAAGCCCGCGAGCGCUCAGCGAUGAGGUCAGCAGAUCAGGUGCUAUUCCUGGGCCGACGGUUACAGUCCGGAUGAAAGAGAAUACGC
rfam:Rhodobacteraceae bacterium HIMB11 HIMB11_contig13.2, whole genome shotgun sequence.